UACAGAGGUCCCAAGCGUUGUUCGGAUUCACUGGGCGUAAAGGGUGCGUAGGUGGUGAGGUAAGUCGGAUGUGAAAUCUCCGGGCUCAACCCGGAAAUGGCAUUGGAAACUACCUUGCUGGAGGAUUUGAGGGGGGAUUGGAAUACUUGGUGUAGCAGUGAAAUGCGUAGAUAUCAAGUGGAACACCAGUGGCGAAGGCGAAUCCCUGGACAGAUCCUGACGCUGAGGCACGAAAGCUAGGGGAGCAAACAGG
rnacentral:rRNA from 1 species